UACGAAGGGGGGCUAGCGUUGCUCGGAAUUACUGGGCGUAAAGGGGCGCGUAGGCGGGUUGCUAAGUUAGAGGUGAAAGCCCAGGGCUCAACCCUGGAAUUGCCUUUAAUACUGGCAGCCUUGAGUAUGGCAGAGGUGUGUGGAACUCCGAGUGUAGAGGUGAAAUUCGUAGAUAUUCGGAAGAACACCAGUGGCGAAGGCGAC
rnacentral:rRNA from 1 species